AACAGGGGGUGGGGGGAUGGGGGGUCGCGCUGUGGUCGGGCCAAAACAUGGAGCAACACGUCUCGUUAUCUAAUUUCUCUGCGUGUCCUGAGCGACAACCUGCUGAGAUGAAAACUUGUAAAAGUCGUGAGGUCACAUCUUAAAAUAAGCGUGCCGUUUUUUCAUUAGUACCAUCAAACAUAUCAAGGGGACACGUACGUCAAUGAGGCAGUGAAAAGUUGGCAUCGUGAAAUAUUGCGUCACUAAAGUUCCUGGAUGUGUCCUGUCACAACAACUAAUUCCCUUCCUGUACUUUUUUAGAGCAUGCUCAGUGCAUGCCUCAUUUUGCCCCUUCAGCUGGCCUCCUAGAAGCUUGGUUCUAUCUGCCUGGCCAGCCCAGCGAUGACUCAGCACUGCCUAGAGAACAUACACACACACAUGCACACAAAAACACAGACACACACUUCCUCUCGCCGUAUCCAUUGGGGUCUUGGCCGUCUCCGUUCCCAGGGUUUUCCCUUUCUUUUCAUCCCCUCUGUCAUCUGAGGAUCUCCAGAUGUGUUUGGACUCAAACUUCCUUGACUUUUUACCUUGACGAAGAGCCAUAUUCAAACUGUGAGGGGAAACAAAAAGGCUAACACAGUGUUUGUGUCUCCUUUCUCUGUUCUUAUCCGGGACCUCUAACCUCGCCUCAGUGUUUUGUUAUUGUAUUAUUGCUUUCCUAGACAGCAUUCGGCAGGAGACGACAGAAAAAAAAGCCAAUCCAAACACCCGAAGUUGCAACUGGAAAACAUUUGUGCACUCCUGCCUUUUUUCCUUCUUCACCUUACUCAUCACUCCCUCAAGCUCCUUCUCCUCCCCUACAAUGCCCACAUUCUUCUUCUGCGAAGCACACGCACGCUCGCGAUGGCACACUGAUUGCUUUCUUCGUCUCUCUCGUGGGCUUUACAGAAAUUUGGCACCGCUUUUUUCUCCCCCAUCGACACCACAAAACAACCUGAGGAACUGCUGCACUGUGUCGAGAUCAACGGCAGAUUUUUUGGCAAGAAGAAAAAAGAGAAAAAUGAUCUAACCAAACAAAUGCUACUGUGAAACUACUGAUGCAGCAAGUCAACCACUGCUGUUUAAAAGAGCAAACAGGAGGAAGCCAGAGCACCCACAGUGAACCCAGCCAGCGAGUCGAGGCAUCAGACUGCACGACAGUGAGGAGUCAGCAUUAUGCCGAUUGACUCCACUAGAAGCAUGUACAGGCUUUACAGAAAGAAAGUAAGAGCAAGCACACAUGCACUUCCCCUUUGGGGUGCUCACCAUGCACCCUGUAAAGUCAUGCCUGAGAGGUCCGUCAGCUCUCUUGUGUUUGCUGUGACUUUGCUGCUCAAGUUCAAUGCAUGUUCACUGACGGUUCACUGCAGGAUGAAAACGACCUUCGGGCCACCGGGAAAUGCUCUGGCAGUUUGCAGAACGUCACACAUUUAUUCUCUGAAAAGCAGAAAUGCAUCUUCAAAGAAUGAUUUAAUUUCACUGCAAUUUAGAAAUGCAGUUGGUGAGAGAAAGUGUGAAUAUGUGUUUAUGUGUUACUGUUUAGAUCUCCUCUAGUAAGCGGAACAGCUCACAAAGAUGCAGGAGAGAUGUGUGCAGUCUGUGUCUGUAUAGCUAUUUAAUAUGACUGUAUGCAUUCAGACUCAUGCUGUGUCAAAACUGAUGUAAAAGCUAGGAAGUGGCAAUAAAAACUAAACUAGGUGUAAAAAAAAACUAGAAAAGAUAAUAGGUGCAUUUCCCUUAAUGUCUUUUAUAAAUGUAUUUGAUGAUAUGCAUGCAUAUUCAAAUAGAACUAACAGUGAAAUAACAGUGAAAUAAAUAAAAUAAAAAACACUUCCAGGGGGAAGCUUGCUCUCGAAACUAAAUUAGGAGAAAAGUGAAAUGAACUUAAAGAAAAAUGCAUUAGUCUUCAGUGCGUGUGUUUCUGUGUGUGUCUUUUUUAUGUGCUGCAGAGCUAAUGGCAACCCAACGAAAGACACAUCUCUCUUCUGUAUUGAAAAUGUCAAACAUGCAUCAUCAAAGAAUUUCUUAAUCCUUUUGCAAGUGAGAAACUGAGCGUAUCAGACACCAGACAUACAGUUAUAUAAAAUGUGCUUCUCCAUUUCUGUAAGAGAAAAAAGAGACAAACAAUAAAAAUAAUCAUCUAA